rnacentral:rRNA from 1 species
UACGUAGGGGGCAAGCGUUGUCCGGAUUUAUUGGGCGUAAAGCGCUCGCAGGCGGCUCGAUGCGUCGUGCGUGAAACACCCCGGCUCAACUGGGGGGGGUCGUGCGAUACGGUCGGGCUGGAGGCCAGUAGGGGGAUGCGGAAUUCCGGGUGUAGUGGUGGAAUGCGUAGAGAUCCGGAGGAACACCAGCGGCGAAGGCGGCAUCCUGGACUGGUCCUGACGCUCAGGAGCGAAAGCGUGGGGAGCGAUCCGG